UACGGGGGGGGCAAGCGUUGUUCGGAAUUACUGGGCGUAAAGGGCUCGUAGGCGGCCAACUAAGUCAGACGUGAAAUCCCUCGGCUUAACCGGGGAACUGCGUCUGAUACUGGAUGGCUUGAGGUUGGGAGAGGGAUGCGGAAUUCCAGGUGUAGCGGUGAAAUGCGUAGAUAUCGGAAGGAACACCAGUGGCGAAGGCGGCGACCUGGGUCGAGACUGACGCUGAGGCGCGAAAGCGUGGGGAGCAAACAGG
rnacentral:rRNA from 1 species